rnacentral:rRNA from 1 species
GAUGAACGCUAGCGGCAGGCCUAACACAUGCAAGGUCAGGGGUAACAGAAUAGCUUGCUAUUGCUGACGACCGGCGCACGGGUGCGUAACGCGUAUACAAUUUGCCUUGUACUGGGGGAUAGCCCGGAGAAAUCCGGAUUAAUACUCCAUGGUAUUCAUGAUUCGCAUGUUUUAUGAAUUAAAGCCUUCGGGUGGUACAAGAUGAGUAUGCGUCCUAUUAGCUAGAUGGUGUGGUAACGGCACACCAUGGCAACGAUAGGUAGGGGGCCUGAGAGGGUUUUUCCCCACACUGGUACUGAGACACGGACCAGACUCCUACGGGAGGCAGCAGUGAGGAAUAUUGGUCAAUGGAGGCAACUCUGAACCAGCCAUGCCGCGUGAAGGAAGAAUGUCCUACGGAUUGUAAACUUCUUUUAUUUGGGAAGAAACUUCUCUACGUGUAGAGAACUGACGGUACCAAAUGAAUAAGCACCGGCUAACUCCGUG